GGGGGGAGGCCAGAUCCUGGGCUGUGUCCACGGCGCCCUGCACUCCCGGGCCUGUGUGUUAGAUUCCCGCUCCUGAUGGUGCAGCCCCUU
rnacentral:pre_miRNA from 1 species